rnacentral:rRNA from 1 species
GACGAACGCUGACGGCGUGCUUAACACAUGCAAGUCGAAGGGAGUGGCGAACGGGUGAGUAACACGUGAGUAACCUGCCCUUUUCUUUGGGAUAAGCCUGGGAAACUGGGUCUAAUACUGGAUGGAUUGGGAUGGGCUCGCGGCCUAUCAGCUUGUUGGUGGGGUUGUGGCUUAACAAGGCUUUGACGGGUAGCCGGCCUGAGGGGGUGGGUGGUCACAACGGGACUUGGAAUCGGGCCCGAAUCCCAAGGGGGGCCAGCGUGGGGGAUAUUGGACCAUGGGGGGAGGCCUGUUGAACCCAUGCCCGGUGAUUGAGGAGGCCCUUGGGGUUGUAAGUACUUUCAGCAGGGAGGACGUUACCCGCAGAAGAAGCACCGGCUAACUCCGUGCCAGCAGCCGCGGUAAUAC